rnacentral:lncRNA from 10 species
GGCCAGGCUGCCAGAGCGAGCAGUGACAACGUGCUGGGGUCCUCUUCCACGCUGUAGAAGCUUUGUUCUUUCGCUGUUUGCAAUAAAUAUUGCAACUGCUUACUCUUUGGGUCCACACUGCCUUUAAGAGCUGUAACACUCACUGUGAAGGUCUGCAGCUUCGUUCUUGAAGCCCGCGAGACCAUGAGCCCACUGGGAGGAACAAACAACUCCAGAUGCGCUGCCUUAAGAGCUGUAACGCUCACCGCAAAGGUCUGCAGCUUCACUCCUGAGCCAGCCAGACCACGAACCCCACCAGAAGGAAGAAACUCCGAACACAUCUGAACAUCAGAAGGAACAAACUCUGGACACGCCGCCUUUAAGAACUGUAACACUCACCGCGAGGGUCUGCGGCUUCAUUCUUAAAGUCAGUGAGACCAAGAACCCACCAAUUCCGGACACAAUAGGAGUGAGAUUGGGCUAUGUGUCCUUUAUCUUCUAGUACUCUAGGUACAAAGAAAAGUUGGAAUUGUAACAGGACCUUCCGGAUGUGAAAAUAAAUUUGGGAGAAGCAAUGAAAUCAACAAAGAAACACACAGAGCCAACAUAGGCAGAGUGAUUUUAAGGAGACACACUGAUCUGUAAGCCUUUAAGACUUGCCUAAAGCUGCAUAAACAUAUAGAAAAAUACAAAGGAAACAUUGUUUAGAAGGUGAAAUUCAGCUGACCAUGAAAGCCACAGAAUAAAAAAAGCUUCACUUUCUUCCUCUUUUACAUAUUGGGCUUUUAUAUAAGAUCUUGGUUUUAAAAAGAGGCUUGUUGCUUUUUAAAUAAAUUUUCAAAGAUGUUUCCAAUCUGGUUUGUUUGAAGAGCAUUUUGAAUUAGAUGCGCAUCUCCAUCAUGAGUUCUAAUGCCAUUAGGCUUGCCCCUUAUUUUCUUGGAGUCUCAGUUCCAGUCGGUGAUAAACAGGUAUAAAAUGUUUUAAAAUACUCUAGAGUUGUUUUGAUGAUUAAAUAAAAAAGUACAUAAUGUAUGUGUUACAUUUUAUUCCUCUUUCUUCCCUCUGUAUUAGUUCUCUUUCUAGUGUGAAAUAUCCUUUCAUUAAUGGUUCUAAGAAAAAAGCCCUAUCUCACCAAGGCUUGAAGACAAUUGUGAGAACAAAUUAUGUUCAUUUAGAUGAUAAUUUUAGAUAAGCAUGGCUUAUUUCACAUAUUC